CGUUGAUAGGCUGGAGGUGUAAGUACAGUAAUGUAUUCAGCUGACCAGUACUAAUAGACCGUGAGACUUGACCCU
rnacentral:rRNA from 1 species